rnacentral:lncRNA from 1 species
UGUACAGCCAAGCGCGGACCACUAUACGGACAGAACACGGCCACACAGCGCCAAUAAUGAUCGAACGAGGCACAGUACAGGGGGACACGCUCUCGCCGGUGCUAUUCAUUAUUUUCCUCGAACCACUCCUCCGAUGGCUCCACGCUGGCGGACGAGGGUACAAAUACGGCUGCCUCCCCGACAGCUUGAACGCCAGGUACCAUGGAAGCUCAGCUGCCUACGACCUCGCCGUGAUGACCAACAGCACACAAGACCUACAAAUACAAUGCGACAAGAUCAGCUUGUACUCGAAAUGGGCGGGCCUACACGUGAAUCACAAAAAAUGCGCAGUGACAGGCAUCCUGCACCACAGGGCAUGGGCCGACCGAGGCCUGAACGGACCCACGUGUGCACGCACCCUCAAGGCAGCCUUGGAUGAAAAAAUCAAAAUCAGCGACCAGUCAGUGCCGUACCUACCCCCCACGGAACCCUACAAGUACCUUGGGGUCCACGUAACACUGACCCUCAACUGGAGCGCACAGAUGUCCCACGUCUGUAAGGCGGUGAGGGACAAGGGCGACCUACUUCAGGGAUCCCUAGCAUCGCCGGACCAAUGUAUCAGAAUCAUACAGACUUGUAUACAAGCGGUAGUGUCAUACAGCUUCUCCACCAUGGCAUACACUCCUAAUGAUAUCAGACUUUUGGAUGCGAUGAUCGCACGAGCAGCCCGACGCUGCUACCGCUUGCCCACCAGUUUUCCCACACGCGCCGUGCUGCUACCGGUGGAACAAUAUGGACUCGGCGUUGGGUCCCUACUACCGAUCUAUGUGCGCAUGGCAGCUCGCGCGCUGGUCCUCUCCCUGAAUGACGAAGGCCGGCUAGGCGUCGUGACACGAGCCAUGCUUGAGCUGCAGUGUCGCCUGGCGGCCGACACUAGGAUGCACACGUUGAAACGAGAGAGCAGUUUCUACACGACCCUGAAACAGCUGACCCUGGCGCGAGACCAUGGCAUCGCGGUCACCGACAAAGGGAUGCCGUAUAACACAUCCCUAAACACUCUCAUGACGGCCGCCUCNNNNNNNNNNNNNNNNNNNNNNNNNNNNNNNNNNNNNNNNNNNNNNNNNNCUGACCCUUUUACUUUAACAAGUGUGUCCACACCUGGCCCGCAAUAAAACACCGGGGCCCGAUGGGAUACCUAACGAGCUACUGAGAGCAUUGCCCACUGCCUUACAGUCCACCAUCCACGACCUCCUGAAAGUCAUGUGGGCCCAGGCCCGCACGCCAAAGCAAUGGACUGAAUCCGUUACGGUCCUUCUACCAAAAGCAGGAGAUGCGCUCCUCCUGAACAACAAGCGACCCAUUGCCCUCGCCAACACUCUUUAUAAGUUAUGGACUAGCCUCGUCACAGUGUCCAUCGGGGACGUCGCUCCCGAACUCGCGUUGUUUAGCGAGGCGCAAGAAGGGUUCCUCCGGUACAGAAACACGGAACGGCAAAUCCAAAACCUGCUCCACGUCAUUGAGGAUGCUGGGCUCACACGCAAAGAUCUCUACCUGCUAUACGUCGACUUCUCCUCGGCAUUCAACACCAUCAACCACGACCUGCUGCUACAGAUCAUGUACGACCUAGGGCUACCCGAGGACCUCAUCUAUGUCGUACGGGACCUGUACAGCCAAGCGCGGACCACUAUACGGACAGAACACGGCCACACAGCGCCAAUAAUGAUCGAACGAGGCACAGUACAGGGGGACACGCUCUCGCCGGUGCUAUUCAUUAUUUUCCUCGAACCACUCCUCCGAUGGCUCCACGCUGGCGGACGAGGGUACAAAUACGGCUGCCUCCCCGACAGCUUGAACGCCAGGUACCAUGGAAGCUCAGCUGCCUACGACCUCGCCGUGAUGACCAACAGCACACAAGACCUACAAAUACAAUGCGACAAGAUCAGCUUGUACUCGAAAUGGGCGGGCCUACACGUGAAUCACAAAAAAUGCGCAGUGACAGGCAUCCUGCACCACAGGGCAUGGGCCGACCGAGGCCUGAACGGACCCACGUGUGCACGCACCCUCAAGGCAGCCUUGGAUGAAAAAUCAAAAUCAGCGACCAGUCAGUGCCGUACCUNNNNNNNNNNNNNNNNNNNNNNNNNNNNNNNNNNNNNNNNNNNNNNNNNNAGGUGCAGCACCGGCACAAGAUCGCCUUGAAUCGACUAAGCCUAGCGAUAAGUGCCCAAUGCCCCCAAGCUCCACACACGAAGGCACAUGACCCACGUCGCUGGUCGUCCGCGCUGCCUCUGGAAGACAGACGCCUCCGCGAGAUCCCCAGUGACCCUCCGUACACCGGUCUCCGGCACAAAUCAAGUCUCCCCAACCCGAUACUAGCACCAUCCCUCGACCCACAUGUACGCCGCGACACACCUAUAGUGUGGAGCACGACCACGGAGAAGCCACACCACCCCCGCGCAGAGCCAGACGACAUGGAGAGUGACCCACCAGCGCCGCCGAGCCACCCUGCGGAACCAGCAUGCACAGGACGGAAACGCACAAGAUCCGUCCACCAGCGGCAACAGGAUUUCAUCAACAACAAUACACGCUGUGACAACAGUAACGUGGGAACAGAUAGUGCAGCUAUACAUGGCGUGCAACUCCGC